UACAGAGGCCUCGAGCGUUGUUCGGAAUUACUGGGCGUAAAGAGAAUGUAGGUGGUGACGUAAGUCAGAUGUGAAAGCCCUGGGCUUAACCUGGGAAGUGCAUUUGAUACUGCGUUGCUAGAGUACGAGAGAGGAAAGCGGAAUUCCCAGUGUAGGAGUGAAAUCCGUAGAUAUUGGGAGGAAUACCGAUGGCGAAGGCAGCUUUCUGGUUCGUAACUGACACUGAGAUUCGAAAGCGUGGGUAGCAAACAGG
rnacentral:rRNA from 1 species